GCUUCUCUGAUACCAUACAACAAAAUAUAAUAUAAAAGUGGCAACACAAUACUCAAUGAUUUACGUAUUUCGGUUUCGGCUGCCAAUGAAGCAAUCUAUGUGCACGGGAGAAGAGGAAAGGAUGUGUUUCUUAUUCAUACGGAGGAAAGACAAUAAGAACAAGUAUAGAAAGCAAUUACAUGUCUGACAAUAAGAAGUAUAUAAAGCAAUUACAUGCGUCAAUAUUUGGAAUAGUAAAGGCCCAAUUCAACAAGAAUGGAAAAUAGUAGCCAAUCUUCCAAUUACUCAAAAUAUUUGACAAAUCAAUCAUUCCCUAACCUCGUCUCCGCCAACACAGAUCCAUGUUGGGUAAUAGAAAAUUCCGUCAAUGAAGCCCCAGUGAGAAUGGGUGAUAACUGAUAAGGCAUUUCUGUCACAAAAUUGUAUUCGAUUGCGAUAAGUCGGUACACAUAAGCAAUAAAAGCAAAACUGCACAAGCGGUGGCUGACAUGUAGUAACAUUUUGUGGCGUCAUUAUUUAUCACAAAUU
rnacentral:lncRNA from 1 species